CCUAUAACAUAACGUUAAUGCACCAGAUCCCAUUAGAACUUCAUAGUCGGCUAGAGUAUUAUUGGGAUGGGUGACCACCUGGGAAGUCCUAGUGUUUUACAUGC
rfam:Picea glauca, whole genome shotgun sequence.